UAAGAUAUAUAAAAUAUUUCUCUCAUUAUUAAAGUUUGUGUUGUGCACGCUAAAGAUCUCUGAUAACAGACACGGCUGCUCCGAUCUGCUCUGUUAGUCUGCGCAUGCUCGGAGAAAGCGCGCGCACACAUACCGGGCUGAUGGCUGAAUGAAAUUCCUCCAAACACAAUGGGACUGAAUUGCCAACGUUGCCAUUAAAGCGGUGUUGGUAACAGCUGUACUACAUCAACAGCUCCCUAAUUCCAACGACUCGGAGACUGAGCGAUGUGGCGGCAAACGGCCAGGGAAAAUAGUGGGGCUGAUGUCCGGGUAACUCGGACUGUCGUCAUCCAGAAGCAUUGAUGGGCCAUCCACUGACUCCUCUUCUUCAUCAAGCUGCGAUUCGACAUGCUCUGGGCACAUCUGGUGUUCGAUGCCAUUUUGGCUCAGGUUGCAGUGCACAGCUGUGUGGCAGUCUAGAAAUGGAACACCUAGUACAAAACCCUCGGACCACCGGUGUAAAGAAUCCAUUUGAUGUGAUGUCAACCUUGCCCCGUCCUCGCUUCCUCCAUAGAUAUCUAAUCACAGUGUGACCCAACCACAUCCCGAGCUGCGGACCCAUUAGAAUUCCCAGGAAUAUACACAAGUGAGCAGUGAGCCGUGUUUUGAACCCAAUUGAGAUGCAUGGCACGAAGCACUGCUCCCUCUUCAUUGCUCCUUUCUCCUCUCUGCUCCGAGCUCACUCUUCCAUCCCCUCUUCUCACCCCAAACCUAAUUGAGGAUUGAUACGCAAGGAGAAAUUAACAGUGGUUUUUCCUCUAAAAAAGGAUCAGUGACUUAAGAUGUAAAAAGACUAAAAAAGGACACAAAAGGACAUGACAAGAUGAUGACACGAGGUUAAAAAAAGACUGCGUCAGGACUGAUGCAUUGCUUUCCUACAAUGGGACUCGUGGGAAGAAAGGAGGAGCAAAGAUUUUUAUUUUUUUUUUUUAAAUCAGCAACAGUCGCUAUAAAUAGCAUCAUUACAUUCUUCAGUCUCUCCGUCCUGACAUGCGCUGUGCAAGCACUGAGACGGAAGCCACACAGAUGAGGAA